GCUGAAGCCGAUGAUGAAGUUUCCUACGCCUCCAUCAGCUUCACAAAGAAAACCAAGAGUAAAGACCGGGUAAGAUUUAGAUAUUCAUAGAAAUGAUGUCAGUAGUAAGUUCAGACUUUUCAAAGUUCUUGUCUUUAAGAAAAUUUUGCGAUGUUUUCUUACAGCCCCGCGCCGAUGAUGAUGGUGAGACUGUGACCUACAGCACUGUGAAAACUUUCUCUCCACGUGCUGGAGUUUCCGCUGAUUCCAGCGACCUCUAUUCCACCAUCAACAAACCAAAGACAUAGUAUGUUGGUCAUGAAAGGCUGCAUGUUGUUUUUCUUGAUGCUGCAUCAAUGUUUCAAUUGUAAAUUUCUUUACAUUUUUUAAAUUAAAAUGUAAUAUUUGUGUGUAAUAUAUAGGUAAGCACUUUUUUGAAAGCUUAACUCAAGUCAGUACAGACAAGGUAGUUUAUUUAGCUUCUGAAUUAAGUCAUGUGAGAUGUUUUUAAGUAAAUAACUUAGCUGUUGUUUUCUUAAGCACAUUAGUAGAUCUAAAUCUUCCCAUUCCUUAAUUUUAAAUUUUUUUUAAUGCCUUAAACAUAUUCUCAUCAUCAUCUAUGACAGUAUUAAAUUACACACCAAGCACGAUAGGUUGUUGCAAAAAAGUAAUCUUAAAAAAUGCAAUGUGAAAAAAAUGAAGUGAUGAUGAGCUCGUCUGCAUGUUUUUAAACAACAAAUGGAAGAAAUGGAGAGUCUGGGUUCAUCCAGUUCUCACACGCAGGCAGCAGCAGGGAGAAUUUCGUGGUUUUAUCCACAACUCGGAGCUGCAUCAUAUUCAUCCACAUUCCAGGAUGUCAGUAGUAAGUUACAGCACUGUGAAGACUUUCUCUCCACCUGCUGGAGUUUCCACUGAUUCCAGCGACCUCUAUUCCACCAUCAACAAACCAAAGACAUAGUAUGUUGAUCAUGAAAGGUUGCAUGUUGUUUUUCUUGAUGCUGCAUUAAUGUUUCGAUUGUAGAGUAACUUUCUUUUCAUUUUUUUUAAAGUAAUAUGUAAUAUUGUGUUUAGUAUAUAGAUAACCACCAUGCAGCAAACACUUUUUUGUAAGUUUAACUCAAGUCAGUACAGACAAGGUAGUUUAUUUAACUGCUGAAUUAAGUCAUGUGAGAUGUUUUUAAGUAAAUAACUUGUUGUUUUCUUAAGCACAUUAGUAGAUCUAAAUCUUCCCAUUCCUUAAUUUUUUAAAUUUAAAUGCCUUAAACAUAUUCUCAUCAUUAUCUAUGACAGUAUUACAUUACACACCAAACACGAUAGGUCGUUGCGAAAAAGUCAUCUUAAAAAAAGCAACGUGAAAAAAAUGAAGUGAUGAUGAGCUAGUCUGCAUGUUUUUAAACAACAAAAGGAAGAAAUGGAGAGUCUGGGUUCAUCCAGUUCUCACACGCAGGCAGCAGCAGGGAGAUUUUCGUGGUUUUUAUCCACAACUCGAAGCUGCAUCAUAUUCACACAUUCCAGGAUGUCAGUGAGUCAGUUUGAGUGCUUGUUAGCAGAGCUGGGGCUUCAUCUGAGAAGGCAAAGAAAUACUUUCAGAGUAAACUGAGUCAGAGCAGCGUGUAACUGUGUGUCUGAGAUAAAACAGAAAUAUUUGACUAUUUCUGUAAGUCUGCAUAAUCAGUAUAGUGAUCACAUCCGUUUAUCCGUUCACAAAAAUCAGGAAAAAAAAAUCGAGCUUGGUUCCAAAAACUGAAUGCUUCAAACUGAAAUUAUUAUGAAACUACAGCUGCAUUAAGAAUAAUUGAGCACAGAUUAAGAUUCACACCUUUUUCUUUUCUUUUUCUUAAAGCUCCAGUUUCUGAUUUUUAAUUUUACAAUUAAAUGCAACACAGAUCAAAAUCACUGGUUGUUUUAAUUUUUUCAUCUCUAUAUUUAAUUUUUAUCUCUCCUCCUUUGUACUUCUUGAGCUUUGAACUCAGUUCAAAAGAUAAAUACAGACAGAUGUUAUCCUCCAUAUUACAACUUCAGUAGUUUCUGCAACUACUUCUCUUUGUGUUGCCUGUAUUAUAAUAAGAAUGAACUAAAAAUAAAGAGAAAAAAAACAAAAUAGGGCGAGAGGCAGGGUAAACCUAUUAAAAUGAACAAAUAAAACAAAGUGAUCUGCAAUGGUGUAAAGAGUUUUGAUCUCUUUCACGUGUGGACAAGCAUCACCAUGAAAACUGUUUUCAAAAAUAAACUGUCAACAAGAGCUGCAAUAAUAGACACAUGUCAACUAAUUAUCUUCACACAUUUAACUUCCUCUAUUCUAUUAUUGAUUAUUUUCCACUGUUGUACAGUCCUUUAAAGGCGUUAUAAGGGAGUCUGCAAAAUGCACUAAAUAUCAACCUAAAGCAUUUUGAUGUGUUUUUUUCACUCAUUUAAUAUCCAUGUCAAGAGAGUGAAGGAAGUAAGGAAGCUUAAAAGUAAUGAACUGAAUUCAUUCAGCAUAAGCAGUGAUGUCACUAUGAGGAAGUGAGCAGGAAGUUGAUGCUGUAUUCAUCUCUGAGACUGUCUCAUUGGUCAAAGUGAGAUUACACUGAAAGCACGAUGGCUGCAUUCACAUGGAUACAAAUGUCUUCAUUACUGAUACCGAUGCUUCAGUUUAAAGGUAAGUGUACAUAGAAAACACAUUCAAUUAAUAAACUGCAUUAUUAUCACAAGUGUUACAUCUUUAUUUUUCAUUUGCAGCUGAUGCUUUUUCUUGCGAGAUGACUCUGAUGACUACUUUGGUCACAAAAGUUUUGCAGUGACUGAGUUUAAACCCUGCAGACACUGAGCCUGGUCCAGGAACCAGUCAGGAGACGGUAAGAUCACACACUACUACCAGUGCAAAGUGUUAUGUUUAGGUCAACAGAGAAGAGGCAGGAACCAUGAUGUGAUGAGUAUAAGCUGAAAAUGAAUUUGCUUAAAUAAAUGUGAAACUCACCUGUUAUAAAUCCACAUAUUACUGAGCAGUCAUUAUGUUGUCUUCACUGUGAAGAAUGAAGAUGAUGAUGGUGUUUCGUACGUCUCCAUUAGCUUCACAAAGAAAACCAAGAAUAAAACCCAGGAAUGAUUUUGAUAUUUACAGAGAUGAUGUUAGCAGGAAGCUUGUGAUUUUAAAGCUCCUGCCAGGUUUAUGUAUUUAAUAACACAUAAUGUUUACUUAUAGUCAUGUGGUGGUGAUGAUGAUCAUGAUGAUGAUGAUGGUAGCGACAGUGUGACUUACAUCACUGUGAAAGCUUCCUCCUUUCCCACUGGAGUUCCCACUCAUCCCAGUGACCUCUCUUCCACCACGGACAAACCAAAGAAACAGUAUGUUGCUAAUGAAAGGUCGCGUGCUGUUUUUCCUUGAUGCUGAUGAAUGUUUGUUUGAUAGAGUAACUUCCUUUUUCUUCCCUUUGAAAAAUAUAUCUGGUAUAAAGUUAUACACAUCACCUGUCAUGUUUUUAAAAAGAAAAUUCCUGUUGUUUAGUUUAAGCACAUUAUUAGAGCUAAAUAUUCAUCUUUAAUUUGAUGCCUUCACAGAGCGCUUUGAUUAAACUACUUCAUCUCAGCUGUUACAACAUGUAGCGUCUCAGUUCAGUAAACUCAAACAGUCUCUGCAGUUGGUUGAUUUACUUUCUACAGUUUGAUUAGUUUGUUUUAGUUGUAGUUGUAGUUGUUAUUAACCAAACUCCUCAAGUAGCUGUGACUGUUUUAAGGGCUCUGAUGCCAACAGACUCUGAGCUUUUUUAGUCCAUACUAAACUUUCUAUUAUAAAUAUACCUGUAUGUGCACUGUAAAUAUGAUCUGUGUUACUGAAUGACACAGUUUACAGUAGUUUAUUAUGUGUCUUGUUUGCUGCCUUUAUUCAUUAUAUAAACAUAAUGUUGAGUAUUUUGGACUUUAGUUCUUGUUAUAGUUUAGUCUCAGUUUGACUCUUGAAUUUGUUCCCUUAGAGUUUCCUGUCACAUCUUCUUGUGACAAUUUUCUUAUGUUAAGUUCAUUCAUGUGUCUGUUCCCACAUUUAGUUAUGGUUCUCACUUCCUGUUUUAUUGUCUUUGUGUUUAGUUUUACUAAUUAAAUUGUCUUUGAUUAGUUUCACUUACAUUUCAUCAACCACCUGUAUUCACUUCCUGUAAUUAUGAUACUCUCGUUUAUAAGUAGUGUUGUCUUUCUUUCACUCUUUGCCUUAAUGUUUCUUAUCCUGCCUGUGAUUUCACAGUUGGUUUUGAAAUCUGUUUAUUCUAUCAGUGGACUUUGUAUUUUGGACAUUUCAUCAGUAGAAAUAAAGGCUUUUUAAUCACUCAGU
ensembl:lncRNA